AUUGAACGCUGGCGGCAGGCCUAACACAUGCAAGUCGAGCGGAUGAAGGGAGCUUGCUCCUGGAUUCAGCGGCGGACGGUUGAGUAAUGCCUAGGAAUCUGCCUGGUAGUGGGGGAUAACGUCCGGAAACGGGCGCUAAUACCGCAUACGUCCUGAGGGAGAAAGUGGGGGAUCUUCGGACCUCACGCUAUCAGAUGAGCCUAGGUCGGAUUAGCUAGUUGGUGGGGUAAAGGCCUACCAAGGCGACGAUCCGUAACUGGUCUGAGAGGAUGAUCAGUCACACUGGAACUGAGACACGGUCCAGACUCCUACGGGAGGCAGCAGUGGGGAAUAUUUGACAAUGGGCGAAAGCCUGAUCCAGCCAUGCCGCGUGUGUGAAGAAGGUCUUCGGAUUGUAAAGCACUUUAAGUUGGGAGGAAGGGCAGUAAGUUAAUACCUUGCUGUUUUGACGUUACCAACAGAAUAAGCACCGGCUAACUUCGUG
rnacentral:rRNA from 1 species